rnacentral:rRNA from 1 species
UACGUAGGUGGCAAGCGUUGUCCGGAAUUAUUGGGCGUAGAGCGCGCGCAGGCGGUCCUAUAAGUCUGAUGUGAAAGCCCCCGGCUCAACCGGGGAGGGUCAUUGGAAACUGUAGGACUUGAGUACUGGAGAGAAGAGUGGAAUUCCACGUGUAGCGGUGAAAUGCGUAGAGAUGUGGAGGAACACCAGUGGCGAAGGCGACUCUUUGGCCAGAAACUGACGCUGAGGCGCGAAAGCGCGGGGAGCAAACAGG